AUUUCUUGAGAGCUUUGCAUGGAAAAGUGCACUUUUGCUGCGUAAAUCGUUAAGCAUAGAGCCUCCAUCGCGAGAUAAAAUUGAGAUUGCUUCAUAUGCGGCGACAGCUAAAGAUGCUGGAAGUGCUGCACUGUAAAUAUAAGCCAUACCAGAAAGACGUUGAUGCUCGACCAUUAGCUCUGAACCAGCGCAAAAGCCACCACCUCCUGCGAGACUAGUCGUUAAAGACCCAAUAAUGAUUUCUACAUCAGUGGGGGGAACACCAAAGUGUUCCGUCAAACCUUUGCCAGUACGUCCACAGGUACCAAAAGACCAUGUUUCGUCAAGGAUAAGACGAUACUUGUACUUCUUUUUCAAAGCAACGAUUUUGGUCAAGUCAACCAUAUCACCAUAAUUUUCGGAGAUACCCUCAGUGAUAAUGAAGCGACGAGUCAAAGGACGGUUAUGCUUGACGAAAUCAUCUUCAAGUUCUUGUAAAAUACGCUCCAAGUCUUUCAUAUUAUUAUGUUUGAAGUAACGAAUAGUAGUACGAGAUAUUUGAAUGCCUUUUUGGAUAGCAAAGUUACAAGCUUCAUCCACUACCAAUAUAUCACCACGUUUAGAAAAUGCAGGAAUAACAGAGGAAAUUGUUUGAAAGGAUUGAGCGUACACAAUCGCCCUUUCAACACCAAUAAAUGAGGCAAUGUCUUUUUCCAAUCGAAGAUGCUUAUCUUGAGUACCAUAAAAACCCGGAGGACCACAAGCUCCUAAACCGCAUUCACGCAAGGUGGCUACUGCGCAUUCAGUAAUAUGCUUGUUUUCAGCCAAAUCUAAGAAAUUAAACGAGGCAAAAUUAGUAAUCGGACGACCAUCAAUUAGUUUAGUAUGAAGGUGAACACUAAAUAUGGUCAGUUAAUCACAUUAUCAUAUAUAAAAUUAAUAAAGUUAGUAUACCUUUCAAGAACAGGAAUCGAUUUUAACUCCAACUUUUCAACAUCAGUCAACUCUGCUACGAGGGGUUCAGGUUUCCAAUCAUCCACCAGUUCAUUA